rnacentral:rRNA from 1 species
GGCGAAAGCCUGACGGAGCAAGACCGCGUGGGGGAAGAAGGCUCUUGGGUUGUAAACCCCUUUUCUCUGGGAAGAAAGUUGUGAAAGCAACCUGACGGUACCAGAGGAAUCAGCAUCGGCUAACUCCGUGCCAGCAGCCGCGGUAAGACGGAGGAUGCAAGCGUUAUCCGGAAUGAUUGGGCGUAAAGCGUCCGCAGGUGGCAGUUCAAGUCUGCUGUCAAAGACCGGGGCUUAACUUCGGAAAGGCAGUGGAAACUGAACAGCUAGAGUAUGGUAGGGGCAGAGGGAAUUCCUGGUGUAGCGGUGAAAUGCGUAGAGAUCAGGAAGAACAUCGGUGGCGAAGGCGCUCUGCUGGACCAUAACUGACACUCAGGGACGAAAGCUAGGGGAGCGAAUGGGAUUAGAUACCCCAGUAGUCCUAGCCGUAAACGAUGGAUACUAGGUGUUGUCUGUAUCGACCCGGACAGUGCCGUAGCUAACGCGUUAAGUAUCC